AACGAACGCUGGCGGCAGGCUUAACACAUGCAAGUCGAACGCAUCCUUCGGGGUGAGUGGCAGACGGGUGAGUAACGCGUGGGAACGUGCCCUUCAGUUCGGGAUAACCCAGGGAAACUUGGGCUAAUACCGGAUACGUGCGAGAGCAGAAAGAUUUAUCGCUGAAGGAUCGGCCCGCGUCUGAUUAGCUAGUUGGUGGGGUAAUGGCCCACCAAGGCGACGAUCAGUAGCUGGUCUGAGAGGAUGAUCAGCCACAUGGGGACUGAGACACGGACCAACCUCCUACGGGGGGAAGCAGUGGGGAAUAUUGGAAAAUGGGCGAAAGCCUGAUCCAGCCAUGCCGCGUGAGGAAUGAAGGCCUUAGGGUUUUAAAGCUCUUUCGUCCGGGACGAUAAUGACGGUACCGGAAGAAGAAGCCCCGGCUAACUUCGUGCCAGCCGCCGCCGUAA
rnacentral:rRNA from 1 species